UACAUAAGAGGAUAAAUGAUAUUUAUUUCUGUAAAUAGGUUAUAAAAUAACACUUUUACACGUCAAUAUUUCAAAUAACUAGAUGAGGCCGGCAUUUCCUAUCCGACUACUCUGAGAAGAAAUGCCGAAACAAACUCAGAGGUCAGUCUCUUUUAAAGUCCAGACAAAUCAAAUAAAGAAUAAUGUGAGAGAACCGUGCAAGUUGAUUCUGUAGUGGUCUUUAGAGGAAAGAACCACAACAGUAUGAGGGGUUUGACAUAAUCUCCACACUUGUCAAGAUUGGAGAUCGCAGUAUAAAAGGUUCAGGUUUAUCAGAGAGCGCUGCUGCACGGUCUCUGUCUAAUGUGUAGUCCCUUAAUCGGGUAUACCACACCCAACGGGAAGAGUAGAGGUAACAAUGACUUGAAAUUCAACAUAUUACAUUAGUAUAUAAAAUUGACUAGUAUAUAAGUAAUGUGAUUUUAGACAUAUAAGUCCGUGAAUGAAUUUCAAGUAGAUAUAUAACAUUCCUAUAUAAAAAUAAUCCAAUAUACUAUGUUUUACCCGAGGCGUUACUUGCCUGUCUUUAUCCAUACUCCCAACUAAAUAUAUGCAAAAUUAUUAAAAUAUAGCUUGAGUGCAUAAAGCGACUUAAUUUCGCAUUUAUAAUA